CCUACGGGGGGCAGCAGUGGGGAAUAUUGGACAAUGGGGGGAACCCUGAUCCAGCCAUGCCGCGUGUGUGAAGAAGGCCCUCGGGUUGUAAAGCACUUUCAGUGAGGAAGAACGCCUGGUGGUUAAUACCCAUCAGGAAAGACAUCACUCACAGAAGAAGCACCGGCUAACUCCGUGCCAGCAGCCGCGGUAAUACGGAGGGUGCGAGCGUUAAUCGGAAUUACUGGGCGUAAAGCGCGCGUAGGUGGCUUGAUAAGCCGGUUGUGAAAGCCCCGGGCUCAACCUGGGAACGGCAUCCGGAACUGUCAAGCUUGAGUGCAGGAGAGGAAGGUAGAAUUCCCGGUGUAGCGGUGAAAUGCGUAGAGAUCUGGAGGAAUACCAGUGGCGAAGGCGGCCUUCUGGACUAACACUGACACUGAGGUGCGAAAGCGUGGGUAGCAAACAGGAUUAGAUACCCGAGUAGUC
rnacentral:rRNA from 1 species